CGAUACUUGGUGUGAAUUGCAGAAUUCAGUGAAUCAUCGAAUCUUUGAACGCACCUUGCGCCCUUUGGUAUUCCGAGGGGCAUGCCUGUUUGAGUGUCAUUAAAUACCAUCAACCCUCUUUUGACUUCGGUCUCGAGAGUGGCUUGGAAGUGGAGGUCUGCUGGAGCCUAACGGAGCCAGCUCCUCUUAAAUGUAUUAGCGGAUUUCCCUUGCGGGAUCGCGUCUCCGAUGUGAUAAUUUCUACGUCGUUGACCAUCUCGGGGCUGACCUAGUCAGUUUCAAUAGGAGUCUGCUUCCAACCGUCUCUUGACCGAGACUAGUGACUUGUGCGCUAACUUUUGACUUGACCUCAAAUCAGGUAGGACUACCCGCUGAACUUAAGCAUAUCAAUAAGCGGAGGAA
rnacentral:rRNA from 1 species